rnacentral:RNase_P_RNA from 1 species
GAAGUUGACUGGACGGUCGCCGCGGAAGUGAUUCCGGGGAGGAAAGUCCGGGCUCCGCAGAGCAGGAUGCCGGUUAACGACCGGAGGUCGUGAGGCCAUGGAAAGUGACACAGAAAGCCAGACCGCCUAAGCACCAGCAUCAAGGUGACGGCAAGGGUGAAAAGGUGCGGUAAGAGCGCACCGCGUCAGCGGUAACGAUGACGGCAGGUUAAACCCCAUCCGGAGCAAGACCAAAUAGGGAAGCUAUGGCGUGGCUCGCGCUGCUUCCGGGUAGGUUGCUUGAGUGCCCAGGUAACUGGUCGCCUAGAGGAAUGACCGUCCUCGACAGAACCCGGCUUACAGGUCAACUUCCCGU